AUUAUUUUCGAAAAUCUGUAGGUUGGAUUUAAGGACAACGUAAAGCUUCUACUUUUUUCGUUUAUCAUUACAAUUGAAGGGAAAUAGAAGAAACUUGUAUGAGAUUUAAGAAACAAAGUUACGACGAAGAACGGCCUCGGUGGGUAUCGUACAUUUAUGAGUGGAACUCUCUUCACUGACGAUCGUCGCAAACGGAGCAGAGGCAGGAGUGACGAGCGAGAGAACGUGCGAGAGAUAGAGAGAGAAAGAGACGGUGAGGAACAGCGAGUCUGUGAAACGAGGAACGAAAUUGGUCGCGCGCGGGAAUCAGCGGUUGUGUGUUUGGCCUUUUUCUGAUUGUGAUUUACUACGAGAGAUUGUGAUUGCUAGUGUGAAACGUGUGUUUUUUACCUACGAAUUGAGAAUCUGCGUGUGGGAGUUGAUGCGAUAGGGUGUAUGAAAAUUGGAUAAUUUACAAUAAAUAAUGGCAACUUUAGCAGAACAAGCAUCUAAGCUUCUGGAUUUUAAUCAGAAGUUAGAUAUAACACUUCUUGAUAAUAUAGUAGGUUGUAUGUACACUGGAAUAGGUGAGCAACAGAGAGUUGCACAGGAAGUAUUAACUACACUUAAAGAGCAUCCAAAUGCAUGGACCCGUGUAGAUACUAUUCUAGAAUAUUCACAG